GCGUCGGUGGUGUAUGGUACGCACCUCUGGAAUGUGGCUGCGGUCAUUUGUCAAAGGAGUGGAUGGGGUUCGAUCCCCCACUGACGCA